UGGAACAGCCGGUAAUGGAAGACCUGCAACAAACGUGGGGUAGCAGGCAAUAUGUAACUAUGACAGACCAAAACUCCGAAACUCUGGUAAUGAGCCCGUGCCCCCCAAGCAUGUGGUCUCGUUCGAUGUAGUUAGGAACAGUUCUCUUUAACCCGUGAUGAUUACGCCCUGUCUUAAAUGGCAGGUGCCACCAAAUACCGAACACUCGUUGAGGUAUGGUGGUCCGAAUGUGAAGCUGGGAGUACAAUUUGGUACGAGAGCACCAGCGCCCCCGAUCUAAGUGAUGACGCAUGCGUCGGAACAAUGAAGACGGCUGGCAAACAUUCAGGAGUCGCAAAAGUGACGCGUAUGAAUGGAUUAACGAGAUUCCCACUGUCCCUAACUACUAUCUAGCGAAACCACAGCCAAGGGAACGGGCUUGGCAAAGACAGCGGGGAAAGAAGACCCUGUUGAGCUUGACUCUAGUCUGACUUUGUGAAGAAUCAUGCAUGGUGUAGUAUAAGUGGGAGUGUUUCGGCACGUCAGUGAAAUACCACUACUUUCAUCG
rnacentral:ncRNA from 1 species